rnacentral:rRNA from 1 species
AUUGAACGCUGGCGGCAUGCCUUACACAUGCAAGUCGAACGGCAGCGCGGGGCAACCUGGCGGCGAGUGGCGAACGGGUGAGUAAUGUAUCGGAACAUACCCUAGAGUGGGGAUAACGUAGCGAAAGUUACGCUAAUACCGCAUACGCACUAAGGUGGAAAGUGGGGGAUUCGCAAGAACCUCAUGCUCAUGGAGUGGCCGAUAUCUGAUUAGCUAGUUGGUGAGGUAAAGGCUCACCAAGGCAACGAUCAGUAGCUGGUUUGAGAGAACGACCAGCCACACUGGAACUGAGACACGGUCCAGACUCCUACGGGAGGCAGCAGUGGGGAAUUUUGGACAAUGGGGGCAACCCUGAUCCAGCAAUGCCGCGUGAGUGAAGAAGGCC